CUUUUUUUACCUUUUUGGGUGGAGGAACCAUUACUUUUUCUAAACACCCCCACACUUUUAAGUGUUUAUAAGACGGCUUACGUCCUUUCCAUAAUUCAUAGGAUGAAGCAUUACACUUCUUUUGAGGUAUUCCAUUGACAAUAUAAUUUGCUGAAAGAAUUUCGUCCCCCACAAAUUCUGAGGUAGCCCAGAGCAUAAUAAUAAUGCAUUCAUCAUUUCUUUCAAAGUUAUUUUUUUCUUUCUGCAACAUCAUUUUGUGAUGGUGAAUAAGGUGCAGUUGUUUGGUGUAUUAUACCAUUUUGUGAACAAAUUUCAACAAAAGAAAAUUUAUAUUCCCCACCUUUAUCACUUCUAACUAUCUUGAUCUUUUUAUCAAGUCGAUUCUCAACCUCAUUUUCAUAAUGUAUAAACAUUUCCAAAUCCUCAUCUUUACUUCUCAAUAAGUAAACAUAACAAUAUCUUGUAUAAUCAUCUAUAGAAGUAAGAAAGUAUUUCUUACCUCCUCUUGUUUGUAUAUAUUUUAAAUCACAAAUAUCAGUAUGUAUCAAUUCAAGAGGUUCUGUACUUCUUUCAAUUGAUUUAAAAAAAUAUUUCUGAAGUUUUGCCUUAACACAAACUUCACAUUUAUUAUUAGAGUUAAUCUCACAUUUUGGCAAACAUUCCAUAUUAAUUAAUCUACGUAUAGUAUUAUAAUUAAUAUGUCCUAAUCUACCAUGCCAUAAAUUAGAUGACUCAAUCAUAUAAGCAAAAAAUAUAAUUUUAUUAAUAUUGGAAGGUACAAUUGUCAUUAUAUUCAUUUUGAAGAGCCCAUUGCUCAUAUAUUUAUUUCCCGUAUACAUCCCAUUUUUAGUUAGGACAAACUUGUCUGAUACAAAGACCAAUUUAAAUCCCUUUUGACUAAGAAGGGAUCCUGACACUAAAUUCUUCCUAAUAUCAGGCACGUGGAGCAAGUUGUUGAGGGUGAGUUCCUUGCCAGAUGUCAUCUUCAAAACCACCUUUCCUUGUCCAGCAAUCUUGGAUGAAGAAGAAUUUCCCAUAUACAAGUGUUCUCCAUUCUCAAUUUCUUGAUAUGUGGAUAACAUCUUCCUUUCAGAACACACAUGGCGGGUUGCUCCAGUAUCUUCCCACCAUUCCCUGGGAGUAUCAACUAUGUUUACUUAAGAAACAACUGCUGAAAGGUUCAUUUCAAAAACAUCUUGAAGAAGACCAUCCACUUCUGUUACAUUGGCUUGUUGUUGUCAGUUUUAUAUACUAACAAUUCGCGCAAGUGCACACGGUCAACCAAGUAAUAUAGAAGUAAGAAGGAUGUCGAACCCAUAGAGAACAAGUAAUAAUAACUAUUCUAAUUAUCAAUUUUUUACUAAUUUAAAUCCACUUAAACAAUCACCUCAAUUGAUUUUUGAAAUUGUUUUGAAUAAAUAAAAUAAAACUCAAUUAACUAACAAGGAUUUGUCACCAGAUGAUUAAGACAUAGGGAAUACAAAUUUCUCAAUUGCUUAGCAUUAAUCGCCUUAUUUUAUUCCCACUUAAUUAAUCCAAUGAGUUGCUAACUAGGAUUGCUUAUGAAUUUAUAAACAUCUUUCAAUGAUUAAUAAAAAUACAUAUUUUAGUUAUAUUGCUAUUUUCAUGCAAGACAUUUAAAAUAGAUUCAUUAAGCACAAACUCUUAACAAAGUUACGUAUGACAUACAAGUAUUUUCAUCUUAUACACUGUUAUGUUAUCCUUAACAAGAAUCAACAAAAUCAUGCAUUAUUAUAUUCAUAUCUAAUAUAAGAUUUCCUUUUCCAAUUCCAUCAAAGAUAUCAGAUUAAUUGCUGGCCAAACAAUUAUUUAAUUAAACACAUAAUAUAAUAAUCAACUUAAUAAAAUAAAAAAGUGAAAAUAACGAUAAUUAAAUUAAUGCAUUGCAAAAGGUUCCAUUGUAUUCCUAAUUGGAAUUUAGUUCAUCAUAAUUAAGAAAACUAGCAUAAUGCAGUUAAAUAACAUCCCAAGUACAAAUAAAGAAGUAAGGAGAAGAAGAAAAACACUGUCGAGAAUCUCCAAACUUAGCAACUCCAAUCUCUGACUCUUAGUAUUCUUCAAUGCAAUCUCCAAAAGUCGGCUCUCAAUAAAAAAUCAACAAUCAUCAAGUUCUUUCUAAACUAGGGUUUAAGAGUUCACAAAGAUUUUAUACCUACUACUAAAUAACAAGCAUCUAUUUAUAGCAUACUGAUAUAAAUCCAACUCCUAAAAGAAUUAAAAAUGUCAAAGUAAAUUUCAAUUUGGCUUGGGAAUCAAUUAGCAAAUCUGGCAAAAUCCUGCUCGGUCGCGACCGUGUAUGACUCCUUUGUAUUUGAGGCGCUGCAGCGCUGCUAAAGAAUCUCAAUUGUCAUUUUUAAUCAAGUGUUAUCGUAUGUGCUCCCUAUGUAAUUAAGGCGCGGCCGCGCCUGGCCUGGUUUCUGCCCAAUUCAUUCUUUUUGCAUGCUAAGUCCAUCCUUACAUCCCUGUUCAAUUGCAACGCACCAUAACCUAUAAAAAUAAUGUAAAUGCAUGAAAUGUAACACAAACUUAAGAAGAUUAGCAAUAAUUUAAGUUAAACGAUAUCCGAAUCGUAGGUAUAAAACUCACUCAUCAAAUACCCCCAAACUUGAACCAUUGCUUACCCCCAAGCAAUCUAACACGCAAAAAGUAAAGAUGCAGACAAAACAAAACUAACUAUCAUGCAUACAACUAACGUCAUCGAGCUAAAACCACAAAAUCUAGGAUAUAUGCCUCAGAGAUUAUCAACGUAACUUAUAGCAAACUUCAUCUUAUGCAUAGUCAAAAACCUUUACAUUCUCACCAAGUUAUCACUAUUCAAGACCCUCCCUUUUGUGUGUGUGUCUAGUGUCAUAUCAACAACUCUUAGGUUGUUUAUGUGAUCAAGGCCAUAUACAAGACUCACCAAUCUCACUAAUUUUAGCCAAACAGGGUAUUCACAUAAGAACAAGGUUUAUAAUGAUCAUAAAGCAAGCAUAAAAGAAUUCUUGAAUUGCCCAUACUUAGCGGGUGCAUUUUACGCUCCGUCCCACUAUUUAUUUAAAUCCGACUUGUGCAAUGCUUAACUCUCUUAGGCUUUUCACCAUUACCCUUUUAGCAAACUUUCGACCAACGACUCCUAAACCAGUUGGUUUUUGGGUGAUGGGUGUAAAGACACCCCUAGGGCUUACUUGUUCGAGUAACAGCAACCACAAAAGUAAACUAAGCCAGCUUUUAUUCAUUACAUAUAUUUGUUUCAAUUUUCCAUUUCUUUUUUUUCAUUUUUUUAUAAUGUAGAUAAAUAUCAGAAUUCCCCCAAACUUAUAUGUCAACCCAUGUUUAGAUUUAAUCAAUGAUUAAGUAAGCUUAUUAAGUCAUGUCACACAUAAAGUCCCUAUUUGCCAUUGAUAAUCACCUGGUGUGCUUGUGUGUGGAAGAAAGCAUUAAGCACAAACCAUAAUAGACAAUCUAAGAAUAAUCAACAAUAAUUAAUAGAGAAGCAUAUUAAAAUAAACUACGCAACAAGCUCCAUUGUAAUCUUAAACAAGAAUUUAGUUCAUGAUUAUUAAAUUAAAAUCAAGAAUCCACAAUUGAAUAAACAUUAAAAGACAAAAAUAGAAGUAGAGGAGAAGAUAAAAUCUGUUGUCUACAGAUUUGAUGCUCCCUUCUUGCUCCUGCUCUUGAUCUUUAAUGAUCUCCAAGUUGCUUUAAUCUCCAAAUCUAAUAAAAACUAGGGUUUUGUCCUAAUCUAAUGAAUAUCUAAUCUAAUGGAAUCAUCCCCAUUAAUCCUUGUGAUUCUCCUCCUUAUAUGCCUCUCCAUGUGUCUUUUAGUCCUCCUCAAAGUCCUCGAACAAACAACUCAAACCAAUCUUCCUUGAACUCAACUUCUGAAAACUCUUUUUUUUUCUUCCCUACAAGCCCGCCCCGGCGGACUUUUUACACUAGGAAACCCCCGCCCCGGCGGGGGUACUUUUCCAAAAAUAAUAGAAAUGUCAAUAAGCUCCAUUUUUCAUAUUUUGACCUUCCGAAGCCAUUUCCUACAACAUAAACACAAAAAAACAAAUAAAAUGACACUAAAAAUACUUAAAGUUAACAAAGAAUUAAGCCUUAACGAUGUCCAAUUCGUAGGUAUAAAAAUCAUUCAUCACCUAUGAUCAUUAUUACUCAGGUAUAUUCUACAUGACUUGUAAUUAUAGUAUAUAGAUUCUCAUUCAAUAUUCUUGCAACACUCUGAUAUUUCAGCAUGACAUUAGAAGGAUGAGGAUGUAUAUUAUCAUGACGUCCAUCAACAUCAACCCUAGUUGUCUGUAUUUCGAAGUUUGACAAAUCAUAUAACUAACCUCUUAUUCUUCAUGUUUGUAUCAAACAUCUCUAUUAAUCAUAUAGUAUUGAUCUAUAUCAUAUAUGAUUAAUAGAGAUGUUGGAUACAAACAUGAAGAAAAAGGGGUUGGUUAUAUGAUUUGUCUAACUUUGAAAUGCAAACAACUAGAGUUGAUGUUGAUGGAAGUCAUGAUAAUAGACAUCCUCAUCCUUCUAAUGUCGUGAUGUAAUUUUUGAGUGUUGCACAGAUAUUGAAUGAGAAUUUAUAUAUUAUCUACAGAGGUAGCUGGAUGCUGAGCAAGCUGGAAAGCGNNNNNNNNNNNNNNNNNNNNNNNNNNNNNNNNNNNNNNNNNNNNNNNNNNNNNNNNNNNNNNNNNNNNNNNNNNNNNNNNNNNNNNNNNNNNNNNNNNNNGGGGAGUGAUGGAGAACCAGUUCAGAGACACCACAGUAGCAACGUCGACCCCCGUCGAAUGAUUUACAUUUUGUUUUGUAAGACAUUGUAGUUAUAUAUGUACAUCAUUAUAGUGAGCUUGAUUCUUUGUAAAUCAAUGGACUUUAGUUUAGUUUUGUAAAUCUUUUAACUUAGUUUGAUUCUUUGUAUUUUAUAAGUUAUACCAGUGUAGUUUAACAUUAUAUGUUGUUAGAAACAUGUAUAUAUAUUGUUUUUAAAAGUAGUUAUGUUGUAUUAUGAGUUGAUUAUAAUAUAUGUUGUUGGAUGGGUUGAUUAUAAUAUAUGUUGUUGGAUGUAAUUAUUGGUUAAUUAUUGUAUGUAUUGUUGGGAUAAAAAAUGUUACAGAUACAAAAAUGGGGUUUAAAAACAUGGAAACUACAAAAAUAAAAAUAUUAUUAAAAAAUGAUAUUUUCGAUAGAAUAAGGUAAAACCGAUGGAAUUUCAGUCGAAAAUAAGACAUUUAAUUUAUUUUAAAAAAGCAUAUGUUUGACGGAAUAUUACUUAUUUCCAACGGAUAUUUCAUCAGACUUAGGACUUACCGAGCUGACACAUGUCUCCAUUUAUCAUCGACGAAAAAUAAGUCCGUCGAAAAUAAUCUAAAUCCGACAAACAAUCCGCCGACUCUAAAUCUAUAGAUCAUAUUUAGUUUCGACGGAAUUGUCGACGGAAUAAAGUUCGACGGCCUUUAUUACGACAUAAUGGUCGACGGAAUAUUCCGUCGGAUAUUAUUUUAUUCUGACGAAAUAGGAUUAUAUCCAACGAAAUAUUCUGUCGGAAUUAAUGCUUUUUCUUGUAGUGAUUCUUUAUUUUAUUAUUCUUAUUAUUUAUGCUCAUCCUUUAUAUUAUUAUUAUUUGUACUAAUUGUCGACGUUGGGAUUUUUUAUUGUCCCUUUUCUGUUCUUAUCUUUUGGUGUUCUCAUGUUAGGUGAGAUUUGUUUGAAAAAAUAAGUUGUGAAAAGGUCCGACAUUUAUAUGUCAACGACUGGACGAUAAGAGUCGCCAGUUGGUAUUUUUAAAUGGUUGCACCAACUCAACCGAGAAAAGGUUUGCACAUUGACCGCGUGAUAUGACACGGCUAAAUUGGUCUGUGAAACCGAGAUUUGUUAGGAUCCGGGGACUUGCUUAUGUGGAGGGAAGGUGUUAGGCACCCUUCGACAUCCGUGUUGCAACGGUGACCACCACUUUUCAAUUAAACUGUUAUAUGAAUAUGUGUGUGUGUGUGUGUGUGGGUCAAUGUGCAGUUAUUUGGAAGUAGUGAUAUGCCUCAUUCGCACCUAUAUACAAAGGGUUUGAAAUUUGUAUAAAAGUUCAAUUUUAACAAGAUAUAUCAAUGAUGUUUUGUAAAAGAGGUUUUUCAAACCCUUAUGCUCAAUAGUAAUUGUGGUCUUUGAUACUUCCAUUUUAUUAAAUAUUCGGCUUGAUUGCUUUUAUUUUCGAGAUGCGAGGCAUCUUCGAGAAAAUAAGGUAUAUAGCAGUGCCGAACUCCUUAUGGGCAUGAUAGCCAUCUAAGGAAAUUCAAACGCCAUAAAUAAUGUACAAGCUGAUUAUAGCCGAAAAUGUUCAUCACGGAAACUGAAUCUAGAUUCAGGAGACUGAAUCUGUGAUCACGUGAUUCCUAGGCUCACAUGAUGUAGCAGUUUGUAUGAAAGUUGUAAGCAAUUAUAUAUAUAUAUAAGUUGUAAAUAUAUAUAUAUAUAUAUAUGGUCAACCACCACGAAGCGAACUUCAUGGGGGAGUGGAAAUGUAAAUAUAUAAAAGCGGUAAAUAUAUAUAGAGAAAAUUGACCACCACGAAGCAACUCCAUAGGGGAUUGGAAAUGUAAAUAAAGCAGUAAAGACGAUCAACCACCACGAAGUAAACUCCAGGCGGGACAAAAUAUAAAUAAAGCAGUAAAAACGAUCAACCGCCACGAAGUAAANNNNNNNNNNNNNNNNNNNNNNNNNNNNNNNNNNNNNNNNNNNNNNNNNNNNNNNNNNNNNNNNNNNNNNNNNNNNNNNNNNNNNNNNNNNNNNNNNNNNUAUAUAUAUAUAUAUAUAUAUAUAUAUAUAUAUAUAUAUAUAUAUAUAUAUAAGCAAUAAACGCUCCAGACGUGAGUCCAGGCCCAAUCGAGGCAUAACUCGAAAAUGUUAGUACAAAUAUAUAUAUAUAUAUAUACAAAAGAAAUAAAAAGCCACGGACCGAAGUUCGGGCAUACGCACACCACACGACUCUCAACUUGAAUAACUAUCUGUGCAGAAUGUGGAGAAAAGGCUUUAAGAAAUGUAAGAAGGCUUACAGUGGACUACCAAAGAAGACUUCAAUACCUUUAAAUGGAUUAACACUCGGUUCCCACCGGUAAAAUAUAGCAAAAUACAAGCUCACAAGUGUUUAAAAUAAGAAAGCACUCAAUUUAUAGUAUGUACAGAGCAAAUUGGACAGGACUUCCUCGCCUUUUCUCUUGCUAAAAUGGCCACCCCAAGCCUUAUAUUUAUAGAGCGGGGAGCCGCAGGUGUACCUAUAGUAGCAGCAGGUGUACCUGUGGCUGCCCAGGGUGCCCCAAGCAAUGUGGGUCCUGUCGUCUCGAAGUACGUGCACUCGGACAAUGCGUUGUUCGCUCGAACCUUCAUAACUUUCGAUCCGGGAGUCCGAUGGAAGUGUUCCAUACCAUUCCGGAAAGCUCUUUUCGAGAGCUAUGCAAUGAAAUAGGAUUUUCUCUUUUUUGAUUCCAGGAAGAUGGGUCCAUGACCAAAAUAGCAUUUCUGGGUCUCCCUUAGGUAGUCCGUUGAGCUAUUUUGCGUAGUUUACACUUGGAAAUUAAGAUAUGGUUCUUGUGGGACAUAUUUUGAUGACAUUUGCAUUAAAAUGAGUUGAUUUGAUUUUAGUUGAAGUUGAGUUGGCAAAAUGACUAUUUUGCCCCUCCCGGGGUUAUCUCCGAUUUUUGCACAGUUGUUGCAGUCUUUUCUCUGGAUUAUCUCUGAGGUUGGCCUACUGUUGACUCUGACUAUCCUCUGGGUUAUCUCUAAGGUUGGAUUGACCUCAUGGGGUUGUCUCUAAGCUUUGAACUUGAUCCCUUGGGGUUAUCUUCGGGUUUGGAAACUGAAUCUCCUGGGGCUAUCUCUGGGGUUGGAAUCGAUGUUGUGGUCCUCCAGGGUUAUCUCUAAAGUGUGAAAAAGAUGUUUUUGUCCUCCUACAUAGUUAGUAACCAGAAAAUGAAAUUUUGAGUGUCUACGAUGCCCCUCUUUAUCAUGUUCAUGCAAUGCAAUGGAAUGAACAUGAUAAAGAUUACUAAACACUUGAAAUAUGACAAAGUAUUUUUAAUGAUGCGAAUCGUAAUGUAAUAAAUGUUAUGAUGAAUGUUAAAAUAUUUUUGCAAAUCGCAGUUCAAAAAUCGCACAUCGCAUUUCGCACUUCGCUCUUCGCUUUCGGCCAAUCGCACUUCGCAACUCGCACAUCGUAUUUCGCAUAUCGCAAAUUGCAAAUUACAAAUCGCAAAUCGCAAAUCACUUUACCUUUACCGGUUAUUACCAAUGCCCAUGCUGGUGUUGACUGCAACGGUUUGCCUUUUUGUCGGUGUUGUCGACGCUUGCUUGAUGAAGAUAAGUUGAGAUAUUUUCUACAUCUCUGAUGGGGAUGAUGUCUUGCAAUCACCGAACCUUCCCAAUGUAUACGCUGGUAGUUUGCAACGGUGCCUACCCUGUAAGACCCCGAAUUUUUUAAUAAUAAAAUGGAAUUUCCUCUAAUUAUUAUUUUGGAAUAUUAUGGUGUGGAUUUGAUAUAAUGUUAAAGUUGUGGGUAAGGUUUACAAAUUAUGCAAAGUAAGCAACUUGAUAUAAAAUAUUUGUUUGGUCAGGGAAUAUCCGUACGAUGGCAUAAUCAUUGGUGGACCCCGCAACGGAAGUAAUAUCAUAGUUAGAAAACGAGAGAAAUAAUAUUGGUCUAAACUUUCUUAUGAAAUUUUUACCUUUUUAUGUCGGGGUUACUAUUCACGGGUUACUAUUCAUGAGUUACUAUUUAUGAGUUACUAUUCACGGGUUACUAUUUAUGGAGUACUAUUCACGGCAAAAUUAGUUUUUUUUUCUAACCAAAUUUUUACCGUUAAACUGUUAAAAUACCCGGUGGUAAAAGAACAGUAAUACGCGUGGUUUCAUAGUAGCACACGGUAUUGAUUAUUGAUGCUUACGUAAGAAGUCACUCAGUUAUACUCAAUUAUUGCUACAGUAAUUGAUGCAUAGUAUCUCAUGUUAUUUGAUUUAAUUAUUGUCACAGUAUCAUCUGCAUAAUAUUUUAUAUUAAUAAAUUAAUAAUUGAGACAAAAAAUUUAUUCAUAUUAUUAUUUACAAUAUUGACGAUGUCUAGAAAGUUCUGUCGAAGAAAGGGGUUUGGUCACCUAAUUGCGCGCCAAUAGGGAGAAAUCCUUAUCGGAAAGCCCCCUCUUUCCUAGGAAUGAUAUGGUUGUUAAAUAUUGUGAGUUAUAAUAUUAAUGAUGAAUAAUUGUUGAAAGAUUAAAAAUGUGUUUAUUAAAGAUAAAUGAUUUAUGGUAAUUAUUUAUUCAAUUUUUGAUAUAAAUAGAGGGGUUUGUUAUGAGGUGGUUGUUAUAAGUUUGGCUUAUUAUUCCAUGAGAAGAUAUGCUAAUUUUUUAUACCGUUGGUUGAUGUUAUAAUCGUAAAUCAAUAUGGAUCGUUGGUUGAAGAUAUAAUAGUAAAUCAAUAUGGACCGCUGGUGAAAAGUUAUAAUAGUAAAUCAAUAUGGAUCACUGGUUUAAAGUAAAUCAAUAUGGACCGUUGCUUUAAGUUUUAAUAGUAAAUCAAUAUGGGCCGUCCGUUUAAAAGUAAAUUAAUCUAGGCCGUUCAUGAAUUAGUUACUAUUUAGUCCUUUUUCCUAUAAAUAGAAGCUCAUUCCGUCAUUAUUUUUUAAGAAUUCACUGAAACUCUAGAGAGAGAAACUAUAGAGAGAAAGAAGAGGAGUAUUCUGCUACUACCCUACUUCAGUAUUCAAUCUUCUACUAAGGUAAGGGGUAUUAUUUAUUUCAUAUUCGCUUACGAUAUUAUUUUUCAUAUUCGUAAGAAUAAUAUUUCGUUUAAUAUUCGUAAGGGAUAUUGCUUCCUUCGUAUUCAUGAAGAGAGUUAUUUUCUUUCAAUACUUGUAAGGGUUGUUAUUCCAUUCUUUAUUAUUCUGUUGGAAUAACCUGUCUACGCGGACUAUCGCAUGCAUAGUGAAAUCCUUUUGUUAUUCCAUUCUUUAUCAUUCUGUUGGAAUAAUCUGUCUACGCGGACUACCGCAUGCAUGGUGAAAUCUUUUUAUUUUUCUAUUCCUUAUUAUUCUGUGGAAAUAACCUAUCUACGCGGACUACCGCAUGCCUGGUGAAUAACCCUUCGUAUUUAAUUAUUAUUAAAUAGUGAAAAUGAUCUGUCUACGCGGACUACCGCAUGAUAGUUUAAAAUCCAUUUGCAGUUUCGUAUAUUGUUCAUUUCAGAUUCCUAAACUCUAAACUUACUACGGUAAGUAUUGCUUCUAUAAUUCCUGAAAUGAUCAGAAAUUCCUUGAGUUUUCUUUUAUGUAUCCAAGUUGUCUGUUAUGGUUCCUAUCUUUGAUUGGAUCUAUGUUUUGAACUUUAUUCUUGAAUUUUGCUCCACAAAUGAUUAUUAUGGAGUAUUCUUGUACUUGAAUAAACUAAAUUAUGAAUCCAUAAUCGUGUCCUUUAUCUCACUGGAUUCGUUCUUUAAAAUAUUUUUUCACCAUCCUCAGUCUUAAAUGGUGAUACUUGAUGAAUAUCUUUGGCUUGUAGUGCAAAGAUGAAUGAUUACCUGAUGAACAUCUUUGGUCCGUAGUGAAAAGAUGGACAGGUGUUGAGAUGAACAUGACCAACUGAUGAUACAAAUGCAUAUCUUUGGCCUGUAGUGCAAAGAUGAAUAUUUGAUUCAAGAUAUAUAUUGAUUGAUGUUACAGGGAUAAAAUAUUGAUGAUGGACUUUUAAAUCAUAAAAGAUAGUAGACUACAUUCUCUACUUAACUCUUCUAAUGAAUUGUUGUUUCCGCUGCAGUUGUUGAUCUAAAACUUGUUAUCUAUUGUAUUCUAUCAGAUUUUUCCCUUUUGAGGACUAAGAAUAAUUUGUUCUAAAUUAUCUUAGUCAUAAUAUUCUUUACUGGGCUAGUUGAGCUCACCCUUUUCCUUUUUGUUCCAUUUUUUUGUCAGGAGGCGAGAAUAUAGCCGGAACUAGUCUUGGUGUGGAGUGAUAUUUCAAGGCAUUUGUUUUAGUAGUCCUCACUAUUUUAUAAAAUAGUGUAUCAAUAAUUGUAAUGAGGACUUAUUUGAGUGUGGAUAUUUUCUAGAAGACAAUAUUUAUAUUUAAACUCACAACAUAUGUGUUGUCGUAUUUUGCACGAUAAUUGUAAUAAGGAAGUUGUUGUUAUUUUCUGUACCGUGUAUUUGGCGACUCAGAAUGGGUUGUGUGGACCUAUUUUGGGGGCGUCACAUACAUUGCUGAUAGUUUGACAACGGGUCCUACCUUGUUGGUACUUGACUACGUUGACAUCGCCAAACUGUUUCAAUUCCCACUCGAACGGUGGUAUACAAAGCUUUCAUCACUGAACUGUCUUGAUGUUAUGAUGUAUUAAUGCCAAUGGUUUCGAAUACCCGAUCUUUCGAUACCUUCGCUUAAGUAAUAUUCAAAGGUUUUCUUAACCAGACUCUGCCUCACCCUUUUUGAGGUGAUUUGGAGUUUCCUUUCGCUGUUGGGUGCUUGUGCCCCAUUUCCUUGAGUGUUUGAUUCGCAACCUGGCUGAACCGAUGACUUGAAUGCUGCUGAGAUCCCUGGAGGGUACAGCUCAUUCUUUCGCUGCCCAACUUUGAACUUUGGUGUAGAGGCCUCAACUUAUAAGGACUUGACGCAGGUUAACAUGUUUGAUGGUGUAGAUUUCAUUCGAUAGACCUUUCGUCGUUGGCCUUCUACUUCUGAGUUAAGAAAUUUUUUGAGAAUUUUGCCCUUCUUUCGUAGGGGCAAGCUAAUGUCGCCAUGAUUUCUUCCAGGAGUUCUCCCCUUUCUUUUAAUGAGAGGCUUGAUCCUGCCUUAAACUCCUUCCCUUUCCUGGAAUCGGAAAAUGCCCUAGUCCUUUCGUAUGUUGUUGCCGGGGAUUCAUAUGAGAAACUCUCUUUGUUGACCAAGUCGCGAGUGAAUAAUAUCCUCACAUGUGGACUAUUCAUUCUAAGAACAGUAUGAUUGGAAAAGACCAAAUAAUCAUACCGAAUUGCUAGUGAGAUGAUGUGAGGGAAGCUCUGAUGAUGAUGUACCAUAUUGAUGGUGCUGACUGGUGUUGAUUGGUGCAUUUUCCUCUUUUGGAUGGUUGAUAAAUGCCCUAGUGUUGAGUUUUUGCUAUUUCUGAGAUUGCCCCAGUCUUGUUGUAAGGGUUCCAAUAUCGGGUUGUCGCCAAUUUUGAAAUUGCUCCAGCCUUGCUUGUUGUCUGGGAUAGUUGCUUUGAUAGAUGGGUUGAUAAGAUGCUGAGAUCACAAGAGGCUUUUACCUCUGUACCAGAUGGUGAACGGGUAGUGUAUUUGAGCUUUGAUGCCCUCAAUCAUUUUUUCUGACUUGUUCGCACAAUCAACUUUGAUGGUUUUCUUCUAAUUUGAUGAAGACUUGUGAUUGAGGGUGUCGGAUCUUUGAAGGUCCUCGCUGCUGGUUGUCUUGGCUUAUCGUUGUUUCUUCCUUUCUGGGAUUUGUUCCAGAUUUGAUGGAAUAACAUUGAAGUAUUGUUGGGUCUUCUUAACAUGGGACGCUGACUUGGAGGGUUGUUCUUUGGUGUCUUGGGAUUAAUGUUUGGGCUUGGAUGUUUCUUUUGAGGGUUUGACCGCACCACUGAUGGCUGCCUAUGUACUCCUGUAUGUGCGGGAGAUCAGGUCUGCGUAGUUCCGAUAAGAUAAAUGGUCUGAGAAGUGUUUGUUUGGGUUUUUUGGGUUUUUGUUUGGUUUGACCGCACCAUAAAUGGCUACCUACGAACUCCCAUUGAUGAGGAAAGAUCAGGUCUUUCGUAGUUCAGUCCUAAUGAGCUGAAACCUAACUGAUUUGAUUUUUGAUUUUUGAUUUUUUUUUUCUUUUUUUUCUUUUCUUUUUCUUUUCUUUUCUUUUUGUUUUUGUUUUUCUUUUUGUUUUUGUUUUUAUUUCUUUUUCAAUAUUUACAUGCAUGGAAAAUAAAAGGCAUACUGCGAAGAAAGUGAUACCGUCCCAACAUCUCUUGGAACUCACAACUCUAUCCUCUGGAUCUACACCUUCUUGGCUAGCUAAGGUUUGAUAGUCCAAUUGUCAGUGGUUAUGUUGCCUUCAAGGCUCGCGAUAGAGGUUACCUCUUGAUUCUAAAUAUCUUCACUUAUAGCCAUAACUUGAUCGCUUCCUGAUUCAAUACAUUCCUCAAGGACACUUAAACUGGACCCAUCGCAAAAAGGUAUGAACUCAUGAUUCUUUGAUGGGUUAGUUUCCCCGAUAACCUCACCACCUUUUCCUUCACCUUUUUCUUGGGCUUUGAGAGGAUUCGAUCAUAAAAUCUCCCUCGAACUGUUGUCGCAUUUCUUGCAAGGAACUUUCCUUUUUGGCUUUUUCUUCCUUGGAAAGGAUUACUAUUUCCUCCGCAUAAUCCAAGGUUAUAAAAUCAAGAACGUGGUUGCUAUCUUUGGACCAUAGGAUGUUUGAUGUUGGUGGAGGAAUCUCCCUUGGGGUUUCCCUUGUCUCCUCUGUCAUUUCCUGUGUUAGGAUCAGUCCAUCUUGUGUUCUGCCAAGAUUGGUGCUCAUAGCCUUCACCUCCUUUGAACUGCAUGUCUCGAGUGGACAUCUUAAGCUUUUUAUUUCCUCUUCGUUUUUUCUGUUUAUGAUGAAUUCUAUCUUCAGCUCUUUCUUUUCAAUGAGAUCCUAAAUUUUAUGUCGCAAAGACCAGCAUUCCUCAGUCGCAUGUCCAAGUGAGUUAGAAUGAUAGAGACACUUCUUGGUUGAAUCAUAACUCUUUAUCUUGGGAUUUAUAGGAGGCAGCAAAUCAGUAAUCCUUCUUUCGCUUAUUAGAAAGUGUAGAAUUUCUUCAUUUGAUUUGUUCAGAGGGGUGAAUUUUUGAACUCGUGUGGAGGUUGUUUGAUCUUUCUUAUUUGAGAAUUCGCAUUCCCCCGAGCAAUAUUUCUGUUGGUGAGAUCUUCUAGCAAUUUUAUCAUCCCCCUUUUCCUUUCCUUUCAACCUGCUUUGAUCUUCCUCAUUUAGCUGGCUCAUCCUGGAGAGAUAUGGGUUUGCAUUAUGGUUAACCUCUUUUUUCUAUUGGCUUUUUGAUAGUUGAGUGAAAAACUGCCUUGUUUCCUGAUGUUGGCGCACUAUCAACUUAGCUAGAAGAUUUAUUUGAUUCUGAAUCAUCUCUAAUUUUUGCAUUAUUAUCAUACCCUCCUCCGAGUUUUUCCACUCUAGGACAUUUGUUCGGUGCCUUUGGGGGUAUUUCUCAAUCCUUCAUAUAUACUUACGAUUUGGAUACAUUUCAUCGCUUCCUGACCCGAUCAUGUUUACUUCCUCUGUAUCAUGCUGCAACGGAAGGUUGGUGUUGACAUUUUGUUGAUCAGGUUGUUGAACCACAAUACUGCCACUUUCGAUCAGAUUUUGAAUCUUAUGCUUUAAGGACCAACAAUCUUGUGUAUCGUGUCUUGGAGACCAUGAAUGGUAAGCACAUCUCUGGCUUGGAUUGUAUCUUUUGCUCCUUGGUUCCAAAGGUGGAGCUAGUUCAGUAAUUUUCUUGUGAUCCAUUAAUAUCGCCAAUACAUUUUCAAGGGAAUCGCCCAGUGGAGUGAAUAGCCGAUUUUCCGUUCUUUCGAAUUUUCUCCUUCUGUCUUGACAUUGGUUGAAUGCAGCAUGUUGUUGAAAUGGCAGAUUGUCCUGCUUUUUCCAAAUGAGGGGACUGUAGGUUGGUCUCCUAGCUUGCCCCUGUACAACAAGGGAUAUAUCUUCAUUGCCUUUAUCGAUUACCCCCUUGGGAUCGCUCCCAUACUUUCCAGUCUGUAUAUGCUUGGUGACUGCUUCCCAGGCAGUGAAGUCUUUAAUCUUGCCUGUCUUUAGACCCAUCUUUGCCAUUUUGCCGUGUUUGAUCAUUUUUUAGAAUAGCGUUCCUAUGCCUGCUAGGAUCCUCUCAUAGUAAGGAGCCUCUUGGAUAUCAAUAAACGUCAUUACCAUCUCAGUUUAUGUCAUUGAUGGAAUGACUUGCGCUGCUAGAUGUCUCCACCUUUGGGCAUAUUCUCGGAAAGAAUCAGUACUUUGCUUUUUGACUUUAGUCACUUGGAAUCGAUCCGGUGCCAUUUGUGAUUGAAAACUGUACUGAUUUAGAAAGGCGUGGGCCAAUUCUUCCCAGUUGUGGAUUUUGGCAUUGUUAAGUUAGGCAUACCAGGCUUUAGCCUCUCCAAUGAGACUCUUUUGAAAAAGUUGCAUUCUGAGGCUUUCAUCUUCAGCAUAAGACCCCAUUUCACCAAUGUACACUUUUAGGUGUGUAUAGGGAUCGCCUGCCCCAUUGUAUUUUUCAAACUCUGGGAUUUUGAAUUUGCCAGGAUAUCGAGCCCCUGGGAAUAUGCAGAGAUCUGAAUAGGUGAUACUACCAUAGUUUCCAGUCCCUUUGAUUGACCGGAUGGCUUUCUCCAUUUGUUGGACUUGCUUUCUUAUAUCCCCAGCUUCUCGAUCAUCCCAGAGUUUUGUGAUUUUAGGGUUUUUGUUGGUUCCUUUAUUGGAAUGAGGCUCUGGUAUCUGGGUUUCCAUCUUUUUGCCAAUACCCUGACUGCCCCCUGGUGUGAAUGACUCUGGUUGAGUAGGCAUUGUCUGGCCCUGAGUGUUUUUACUUUGUUCUUUUAGAAAGACAGCCAAUUCUGCUAUCUGAUUCCUUAAUCCUUCAAACUCCUCUCGAGAGACAGGAGUAGGAUUAGGUGGAGCACUUGUAGUCAUGUCUGACUGUGGACUUAAUUCCUUUCUGGACUUUGAACGGGAAACGUGACCAAUUGCUUCCCUAAUAAAAACUUAUAUAGUUUAGUCUUAGGGAAUGUAUAAAUGUAGCAUGCUAUAUGAUGUGUCCAUUUUAGGAGUAUUAUCCUACAAAAUGGAUGUUAGCUGUUUGUAAGAUAGCAUGUCAUGUUUCAAUAUAAAAAGGAAUGCAUGUACACAUAUUCCUUCAUAUUUUCCAUUACAAUGGAAUGAAAUUACAAGUAAUUGAAUUUACAAGUAAUUGAAAUGGGAAAGUAUGAAUAAACUUCCCUCCGCAUUUGGUUUAUCAGAGGCUGACCUAUCCUAGGUUACUCUCAUGGUUUUUUGGCAUGAAGGUCCCCAGAUCAUCGCAAUUUACUUGACAGGAAGUUAAUCCGGUCUUUCAACUGGAGCGAAUCUGGGUGGUGCCUUUCCAGCCUCAUUAGAAUUAGUCUUCCUACAAGUCCAGUAAUCAAACACUGAUAGGAUAUCCUCCUGAUGGAGGGACCGCACAACAUACAUUCACAUACAACGUGUCUCACCGUUAUGGAAAUGAUGAUAUGUGCGAAGAACUUCAAUAUCACAAAUAGAUACAGUGCGAAGCACUAAGUGCAGUAAGUAAAUGCAUUCAUACACAUUUGUAUAAAUGUAAAUACAGCAUCCACACACAAGCAGAUAAUAGUUUAAAAGUUUGUAAUAGCUGCUUAAGCCCUCUUACCGGAUAUCCCCAGCAGAGUCGCCACCUGUCAACGUCGGGAUUUUUUAUUAUCCCUUUUCUGUUCUUGCUUUUUGGUGUUCUCAUGUUAGGUGGGAUUUGUUUGAAAAAAUAAUUUGUGAAAAGGUCUGACAUUUACAUGUCGACGAUUGGACUGUAAAAGUCGUCAGUUGGUAUUUUUAAUUGGUUGCACCAACUCAACCAAAAAAAGGUUUGCACAUUGACCGCGUGAUGUAACACUGCUAAAUUGGUCUGUGAAACCGAGAUUCGUUAGGAUCCGGGGACUUGCUUAUGCAGAGGGAAGGUGUUAGGCAGCCCCGACAUCCGUGUUGCCACGGUGACCACCACUUUUUAAUUAAACUGUUAUAUGAAUGUGUGUGUGUGUGUGUGUGGGUCAAUGUACAGUUAUUUAGAAGUAGUGUUAUGCCUCGUUCGCACCUAUAUACAAAGGGUUUGAAAUUUGUAUAAAAGUUCAAUUUUAAUAAGAUAUAGCAAUGAUGUUUUGUAAAAGAGGUUUUUCAAACCCUUAUGCUCAAUAGUAAUUGAGGUCUUUGAUACUUUCAUUUUAUUAAAUGUUCGGCUUGAUUGCUUUUAUUUUUGAGAUGCGAGACAUCUUCGAGAAAAUAAGGUAUAUAGCAGUGCCGAACUCCUUAUGGGCAUGAUAGCCAUCUAAGGAAAUUCAAACACUAUAAAUAAUGUACAAGCUGAUUACAGCCGAAAAUGUCCAUCACGGGAACCAAAUCUAGAUUCAGGAGACUGAAUCUGUGAUCACAUGAUUCCUAGGCUCACAUGGUGUAACAGNNNNNNNNNNNNNNNNNNNNNNNNNNNNNNNNNNNNNNNNNNNNNNNNNNNNNNNNNNNNNNNNNNNNNNNNNNNNNNNNNNNNNNNNNNNNNNNNNNNNCAUGGGGGAUUAGAAAUGUAAAUAAAGUAGUAAAGAUGAUCAACCGCCACGAAGUAAACUCCAGGCGGGACGAAAUCUAAAUAAAGAAGUAAAAACGAUCAACCGCCACGAAUUAAACUCUAGGCGGGAUGAAAUAUAAAGAAAGUAGUUAAAGGCCACGAAAUAAACUCUAGGUCAGAUAGAAAUGUAAAUAUAUAUAUAUAUAUAAGCGGUAAACGCACCGGAUAUUAUAUCCAGGCUCAAUCAAACAGAGUUUGAUGGUAAUAAUAUAUAUAUAUAUAAGUAUUUAUAUAUAUAUAUAAGUAGUAAACGCUCCGGAUAUAACAUCCAAGCUCAUCGAACAGAGUUCGACAAUAGUUUAUAUAUAUAAAAGCAAUAAAUGCUCCGGAUGUGAAUCCAGGCUCAUCGAACAAAGUUCGACAACAGUUUAUAUAUAAGCAUAUAUAUAUAAAAGUAAUAAACGCUCCGGAUGUAAAUCCAGGCUCAUCAAACAGAGUUCGACAAUAGUUUAUAUAUAAGUGUGUGUGUGUGUGUGUGUGUGUGUAUAUAUAUAUAUAUAUAAGCAAUAAACGCUCCGGACGUAAGUCCAGGCUCAAUCAAGGCAUAAAUCGAUAAUAUUAGUACAUAUAUAUAUAUAUAUAUAUAUAUAUAUAUAUACAAAAGAAAUAAAAAUCCACGGACCGAAGUUUGGGCAUACGCACACCACAUGACUCUUAACUUGAAUAACUGUGUGUGUAGAAUGUGGAGAAAAGGCUUUAAGAAAUGUAAGAAGGCUUAUAGUGGACUGCCAAAGAAGACUUCAAUAGCUUUAAAUGGAUGAACACUCUGUUCCCACUGGUAAAAUAUAGCAAAAUACAAGCUCACAAGUGUUUAAAAUGAGAAAGCAAUCAAUUUAUAGUGUGUACAGAGCAAAUUGGACGGAGCUUCCUCGCCUUUUCUCUUGCUAAAAUGGCCACCCCAAGCCCUCUAUUUAUAGAGGAGGGAGCCACAGGUGUACCUGCGGCAGCAGCAAGUGUACCUGCGGCAGCAGCAGGUGUACCUGCAGCAGCCAGGGAUUCCCCGGGCAAUAUGGGUCUCGCCGUCUCGAAGUACGUGCACUCAAACAACGCGUUGUUCGCUCGAACCUUUAUAACUUUCGAUCCGGGAGUCCGAUGAAAGUGUGCCAUAUCAUCCCGGAAAGCUCUUUCCGAGAGAUAUGCAAUGACAUAUAAUUUUCCCUUUUUUGAUUCUAGGAAGAUAGGUCCAUGACCGAAAUAGCAUUUUCGGGUCUCCGUUAGGUAGUCCGUUGAGCUGUUUUGCGUAGUUUGCGUUCGGAAGUUAAGAUAUGGUUCUUGUGGGACAUAUUUUGAUGAUAGUUUCAUUGAAAUGAAUUGAUUGGAUUUGAGUUGAAGUUAAAUUGGCAAAAUGACCAUUUUGCCCCUCCCGGGGUUAUCUCUGGUUUUCGCACAGUUGUAGCAGUCUUUUCUCUGGGUUAUCUCUAAGGUUGGCCUGCUGUUGACUCUGACUGUCCUCAAGGUUAUCUCUAAGGUUGGCUUGACCUCUUGGGGUUGUCUCCAGGCGUUGAACUUGAUCCCCCGGGAUUAUCUCCGGGGUUUGGAAACUGAAUCUCUCGGGGCUAUCUUCGGGGUUGGAAUUGAUGUUGUGGUCCUCCAGGGUUAUCUCUGGAGUGUGAAAAAUAUGUUUUUGUCCUCCUGCAUAGUUAGUAACAAGAAAACAAAAUUUUGAGUGUCAACACUAAUCAUCAGGAUUGAAGUAGUUGUGAGUGUCUUUGGUCUGCAAAGGCAAUAAAAUUGUUGGGUGUUUUUAGCAUGUGUAAAAAUGACACCUGAUGAAAGUUCUUUUUGGUCUGAGUACAAAGAGAAACUGUUGUUUGGUAUUAUCAUGUCAUGACCAUUGGUGUUACCGAUGAUGGAGGCCAAAUGAUGAAUUUUAAUUUGGAGAAAAUAUUAGAUAUUAUUGUCUAUUUGACUUUGUUAAUGAACUGCUUAUUCCACUAUAAUUAUUCAUUAAAAAAAUUAUGAUGUUUAUUAUUUUCUAAACCUUUGAUUAAAUCACUGUUAAAUGCUAAAGAUAAUUUUAUUUUUUCAUUAUCUUAGACUCUUAGUCAUGAUAUCAUUUACUGGGUUAUUUGUGCUCACUCUUUUAUAUUAUAAUUCUUUUCAUAAAAUGAGAAUAUAAUUAGGGCUAGCGGGAAAACAUGGAAAUGGAAUGAUGAUCUGAGUAGUGGUUGUAAUAAUUCUCACCAAAUUGUAAAAUAAUGUGCUAAUAAUUAUUGUGAGUACUUAAUGUGUAUGUGUGUGUUCUACCGUGCAAUGCAUAGUACUGUAAUAAUAUUAAUUAUGUGAAUUUUAUUAUGUGUUUUGUAUUUUGACACUUCAAAUUGAGUUGUGUAAACCCAAAUUUUAGAGGGUCACAUUAGAACAGUUCGUACUUUGCAUGGGUGCUAAACUAGGAAUAUAUAAAUGUAAUAAGAGAGAGUUUCUCCUCACAAAAUAAAGUUUUCUCAUAGACUAAUAUUUUAAAACUUUUUUUUACCAAUACAAAAUAAUAAUAAUAAUAAUAAUAAUAAUAAUAAUAAUUAAACAUACAUAAAUAUUGUGACGCCCCCAAAAUAGGUAUACAUCACCCAUUUUGAGUCAUCAAUAACAUGGUACAGAAAUAACUACAACUUUAUUAAUACAACAUAAAAACAAUGAGUUUAAAAACAAAUAUUGUCUUCUAGACAAUAUCAACACUCAAAUAAGUCCUCAUUACAAUUAUUGAUACAUUAUUUUACAAAAAUGGUGAGGACUACUAAAACAACUCUCUAGAACCAUCAUUCCACACCCCGACUAGAACUCGCUACAUUCUCGCCUCCUGAGAAGAAAAAUAGAACAAAAAGGAAAAGGGUGAGCUCAACUAGCCCAGUAAAGAAUAUUAUGACUAAGAUAAUAUAGAACAAAUUAUCAUUAGUCUUCAACAGGAAAAAAAUCUGAUAAAAUACAAUAGACAACAAGUUCAGAUCAAUAUUUGCAGCGGAAAUAAUAAUUCAUAGAUGAGUUACAUAGAGAAUGAAAUCUACUAUAAUCUAUGAAUUUAAAAGUCCAUCAUCAAUAUUUUAUCCCUGUAACAUCAAUCAAUAUACAUCUUGAAUCAAAUAUUCAUCUUUGCACUACAGGCUAAAGAUAUUCAGUAAUAUCAUCAUUUAGGACUGAGGAUGAUGAAAAAUAUUUUAAAGAAUAUGAAUCCAGUGAAACAAAAAUACAAAUAUUAAGGAUUCGUACUUUAAACAAUCCGAGUUCAAAAAUACUUUAUAAAUAAUCAUAAUGGAGUAAAAUUCAAGAAUGAUCAAAACAUGGAUACAAUCAAAGCUAGUAUCCAUAAUAGAUAUUUUGGACAAAAAAUAAAAAUUUUAAUUUUUCUAUGAAUAGUGUCGUAUUCGUGAAUAGUACCGUAUACGUGAAUAGUAACCCAGACACUAAAAGACAAGAAUUUCACAAGAAAAAUACUAUCAAUAUUCCGGCAUAAUGAUAUUGAAAGAAAUAAUAUCAUUUUUUUAAAAAAAUAACAUCCUUUACCUCGAAAAGAACAGUACUUCUAGCUGGAAUAUCAGAUAUAACGCUGAAGGAACUUGCACCGUAUAGUAACACGCUCGAUAAUAUAGAGAGAGAAAACUUCAAUUUUUGGUGUGAUUUUUAAUUCUAACCUAAGCACCCUAUUUAUAGGAAAAUGCUUAGAACACCAAAGCAGAAAAUUUAAUAAAAUAAUAAUAUAAAUAUAAUUUUUUCCUACGCCAACCUUUANNNNNNNNNNNNNNNNNNNNNNNNNNNNNNNNNNNNNNNNNNNNNNNNNNNNNNNNNNNNNNNNNNNNNNNNNNNNNNNNNNNNNNNNNNNNNNNNNNNNAGAUUAUUCUAAAAGAAAGCAAAUAAACAACUAAAAAUUGAUGGAAUUCAGAUAAAUAAGGAUUAAGACUCCAAUAUCCCCAAUUAUGAACUAUAAAUUAAUUAUCCAAUUAUCCUAAUUAUUACGUCUAUUGAAUUGUUAACAGGAAUUCUCAAAUGCCAAAAGCUCUUUCUCAAGUGAUCAUUUGCCUUCUAUUUAACCUAGAUUAAUUUUGCUAUAUCUCUAUACAAAACAAUUGAAUUAAACUCGUUACAACCCCAAUUCCUUAUGUGUUACAUGCGCCAAAUAGAUAUUCUCAUUCUAUUCACAAACCUAAUUAUUCACUGUGCAAAUAACUAAGUCACAUGAUAUCAUGCUCAGUUCUAACCCUAGAAUUCCUUUCUCAAUUCCUUCUAGAGUAACAAGGUAAUUACUGAUCAGAUAAUUAAUCAAUAAGCAUAAGGCAAGAUAAAGAACUCACUUUGACAAAAAUAAUUGGAAUAAAUCAAAUAACUAAUUUAUAGCCAUAAAAGGUUCAAUUGAAAUCUUAAUAAAAGAAUUAGUUCAUAAUUAAUGAAUUAAAACCAAGAAUCCACAAUUGAAUAAACAUUAACAGAUAAAAGUAUGAUAAGAGAAGAGAAUAGAAUAUGUUGUCAGCAAAUCUGAUGCUCCCCUCUUGCUCUUGCUCUUGAUCUUCAAUGUUCUUCAAUUUGCUUCAAUCUCCAAUGGCUAAUUAAGAACUAGGGUUAUGUUCUAAUCUAAUGGAGUGUUUAAUCUAGUCUAAUCUAUGUAAUCUCCCUCUAUUUUAUGCCUUAUAUCAUGUAUUUGUAGGUUACAAGUCCAAUUUUUAGUUUAGGAACAAACCCAAUCCAAUUUGGAGUAAAAAAGGUAUCAAAAUUCGUUCAAAAACGCGUCCAAGCCAUCACCAAGCCCUUCCCCAGCGCCCCAGCGCUGGGCUUGACGCUCAAAACCUGCUCCCCAGCGCCCCUGCGCUAGGCAUAGACCUAUUUUGGGUGCCCCGGCGCUGACCUCAAGUUUUGACAUUUUCUACUCCGAUGUCCUUUGGGAAAAUGGUCAUAACUUCUUCGUUCGAACUCCGAUUUCGAUGAUUCAAGAUUAUCCGAAAAGAGAAAAAGUAUAUCUACAACUUUCAUUCUUUGAGUUUUUUGAAAUAAGGUCCGGAGCAAUACUCAAAUUGGCUCUGAAGUGACUGUUGUGUAAAUGGCAAGCCGAAAAUGCGAAUCUAGCCACCCCAAACGUCGAUCCAAGUAACUUUUGUCCCAAUUCCUACAAAACAACGUAAAACAUGCAUGAAUAGACACAAACACUUAAAAUCAACCAAAAGAUUAAGCUCAAACGCACUCAAUUAUGUGUAUAAAACUCACUCAUCAAAUACCCCCAAACUUAAACAUUUGCUUGUCCUCAAGCAAAAACACAAAAGAACUAAAAAUAAACAAACUAACUCAACUACAUGAAUUCAUAUGCAUGAUCUACUUCGUAAUAUACCUACGAACCCAGUAAUAAAUCAGUAUGAUUUAUAGCAACAGGCCUCAAAGAUACCAAUGAUACUCAAACAAUAUAUCCAAUCAAGUCAAAGUCCAUAACUCUAACCAAAUAGUCAAUCCAAACAUGUUAUCACCCAUGUUGUGUAUGUGUGCUUGUUAACCGUUCUAACCAACCACAGUUCAAGAUAAUCACAUAACAAACUUCUUAGAAGGAAAAUUUCAGUUCCAAUUCAAUUACUUUUGUGAACAUGACAACUCCGGUUAAAAUUAAGCAAUUACCAAAGUCUUAAGGUAUUAUACUCUUAUUCAAUCACGAGGGCAUUUUUGCACUUUCUCGUGUUUUAUUCAUUUUUUUUUCUCAUGGCUGUGCAAUGUCUUAUUCCCUUAGGCUUUUCAGUGCUACCUUAACGAACUUUCGACCAACGACUCCCAAGCCAUUAAGACCUUAGGGCGCUAGGUGUAAAGACAAUCCCCUCGGGCUUACUUACUCAAGUAACAAAGGCCACAAAACUAGACAAGCAUGCCACGGUGUUUAUUCUCUUUUUCUUUUUCAUCAUCUCUUUUCUUUUCUUUUUUCUUCUUUUUUUCGUUUUUCAUUUUUUUUUUAAUAUAUAUCCCAUAGAUUCCCUCAAACUCAAGCUUUUGCGUCAUUCUAACCUCUACUACCAGUUCACUAAUUUCCUUCAAUUUUAACAAAGAUUUUCCCUCAGAAACAAAUUAUGAAACCCUUGAACCAAGUGGAUUUAAAUAGUUAAACUUUAAGUGCUAACCGGUUACAUAAGUUUAAGACAGGCUAUGUAGCAUCCCCGAAUCCGGGUCCCAAAUCGCCGCGGAUCCGGUNNNNNNNNNNNNNNNNNNNNNNNNNNNNNNNNNNNNNNNNNNNNNNNNNNNNNNNNNNNNNNNNNNNNNNNNNNNNNNNNNNNNNNNNNNNNNNNNNNNNGCGAAAGGCUUCUUCACUAGUGACUGAUCAGCACAUGGUACUACAAUUUGACUGCUUUUGAUUAUACGGUACAAACCUGUCUGUUCUCCGCUCUAUCUUACCUGGAAAGUGGGAAAUAAACUCCCCUGUUGGUUAAACUCGUAUGCCAUCUUUGCUUCUUUUUCAAAUCCUCCUCUCUUAGUCUUGGCUCUGCCUCGUACUACCUUCACUAGAUAGAGUUGGAGCUUUCUUUUGAGUUGCAUCUAGUUCAGUAGGUGCCCUGAUAGUCGUGAAAGUCAAGCUACUUCCUUCUCUUCGGAGCUGCAAAGUCGCAGUGAAAGCAGUUUUCCGUUGGAUAGGAAAGAAAACUUGGAAGAGUUCCCUUUCAGUGGAUUUCCAAACCUAUCUUUCAGAAUAGAGUAUAUACUCUAUGAAUAUUCAUAAAGGGCUUUAGCCCCGCGAAACAGGGUUCCAAACAGGGGGAAAGCCUCUACUAAGACUAAUACCACAUACCUAAUACCCUAAUACUAAGGUUUUCACCACUACUUUUGCAGUUGACCCGGAGAAAGGAGACUCUCAAAACGAAAGCUAAGACAGGCAUCUCACACACUAAGCCAAAAAGGCUCUGAGACUGCUACUUAAGGGCCUUCUCCUGGGCAUUCUCUUAAGCUUAAAAGCUAAUUCACCGCUUAGCCCCCGAACUUCUUAACUGGCCUAAAAAGGCCUGGAAAUGGCCAUAGGAAGAACACAUUCAUUUGGCAGUGGGGCGGAGAAGAGAGAUCUUUUCUCUUAUUGAUUUAGGGUAAAUCCCUUGUUUAAGGCCUCGAGACUGAGUACGGAAAUGCGCCAGGGCGGGCGUGAGAGAAAGAGUGAUGAUAAGGACAUCUAGUCUAAGUGCUUAUGCUUCUGCCAAAAGGUCCAUACCCUUGAAUCUAAUCUUUCUCGAUCGAAGGCUUUAGCAUUCCAAUCGAAGAAGCGAUGGCACCUCCGCUUGACCGAACAAGUCAAGUCCGUUACUCACAGUAUCUUCAUUGACUGGAAUCGCUUUUUACGCUUGCCAAAUCAUUGAAUUUGAGUCGUUUUCUUAGUCCUUAGGGCAAAGUUUAGAUAGAGACUAAGUGAGUACUUCUUUGAGAAGAGCAGUGGUUUAUUUAAAAACAAAUCUUUCACGACAACCUCUUAUGCGAUAUCGGUUAUCGCAAUAUCCGCUGCAGCCUCUCUGUCGCAUAAUCGGCUGUUACCCCAAAAGGAAAAGAAUCCAGAAAAGAGAGAUAGGAAAGAAUCAAAAAGCUUGGAAGGAUGUAAGGCUAGCACCGAAUCGAAGGCAGGUAUAAGGAAAGGAAUCCAAUUGGUCAAACCCACAGGAAGACGAAGACAAAAGCACUCGAUCGACUCGCUAUAGGGAAGUAGCAAGGAUCCUAUAAAUUACUUCUACGCUGGCAGGAACCAUCUUCAAUCAUCUGGCCCGACAUCAAGAAUUGAACUAUCUGGAAAAAAGGAUUACCUUUGCCCUAGGCUAUUGACCUUUUUUACCUUUGGAUGAUGGAUUGCAAAGGAGCAGAGAUUCGUUAGAGCGCGAAGAGAGAGCGAAGAAGCUAACGGAUUAAGACGGAAUAAGAAAUGAAUUAACAAACAAUAUCAUGAAAUUCAAUUGCGCAUUUGAGAGCAUCUAUCUCAUACUUGUCGGCCUGGCGCGGAUGGCGCGUUUAAGCGAAAGAGAAAGAAGGUCAACUUGGGAAAUCCCUUCGGUAUCGGCAUCGGUAGGAUUCACAGCUGAUUAAAGACCAGCUCCUUUCCAUCCGGGCGUUGAUCCAGCUAACGAGCAACUGGUUCGUCUUUACCCACUUAGUGUACUUAGGAUUUGAGGAGUUCUUUUCAUCGUCUGUGAAUUGGUUGGGCUGUGGGCGAGGGAGAGGGGUGAUCGAGAAUAGAAGCUAGCAGCCGAUCAAUCCAACAGAGGCAAAAACUGGCUCUUUCGAAGGAGGUGGUUAUAGAAAGAGAUCAGAGUAGAGGUAGGUUGAUGGUGUAGUUUCACUCUCAAAAGGGCGGCCGUUAACGCUUGAUUAAGCCUUAGGCUAUUCGAUCGAUAUCUCCUUAAUAGAAAGAAGUUCCUGGUGCAGGUGAGGAAUAAAAAGUGGUUGGUUUGCGGAGGAAAAAGAAUCAUUCGAUUAGGCAAACCUGAAGCGAGAGAGAGCUUCUCGGUAGAGGUAGUAAAGCUAAGAGCUAGAAAGUAGCAAACCGUAAAAGCUAGCCAAAAGGCAUAUGAGGGAGGGGGUUUGCUCGGCUCCGCUCGGAGAGGGAAGGAAUCCAUUCAAUUUCCAAAAGCCAAGUAAGGAGGGCCUAGAGCAACAAACUCUCCACCAGAUGGUUCGACAACUGAUGGACGACCGGCCUACAUACGAGUCAAAAACGGAUAAUGAAGCAAGAGAGGAUUUCUUUUAUAACAUCUGAUUCUCAAGUUGAUGAUUCACCAACAGAUAUCCUGAUGAAACAUCAGAUAUGGGGUAUAUGCUACUGGAGAGUAAGCAAUAGCUCGAGCUAUCGCUUAGGAAUUUGUGCUUGCCUUUGUCGGCCCUCCGGGGAUGGGAAGGGAGUUUUUGGAAGACGGAAUCUUACUUAUGUAAGGUGGCGCGCUGUCUGUCUCGAAAAUUGGCUAGUGCACGCAAAGAGCGCGUUGUCGCGCUAAGACGGGCUGGCUGGGAAUCCGUCUGAAGCCUAUAGUCUCACAGGGAACUGACUGGGUGUGCCAUACACAAUUUCCCUUCCGUUCUUUCUCUAAGAUUUUAAGGCCCUUCGCUUCGCCGAGCUGACCACCCCUCGUUUGUUCAUAGCUGCUCCAGGUCGGUGGAGUGUGAAUUCUUUAGUUCUUUUAGUUCUUGGGUUGCGCAAAAGCGUACUCAGCGUCCAUCUGGAGUGAAUUGUUCUGAUAGCGGAAAGGCUGCUGAGUGCGUUGGAUCUGAGGAAUUGCAUAGAUAUAGUUCCCGCCCGUCAGGACCCUGCUGACCUAGCGUUAGAGUAGAGCGAAGCUCUUUGUUCUUGGAAGUAGAAAAGAUAUCGGCUAGUACGAAGCGCAAGUAAGCUUCUAUUCUAUGUGAGUAAAGGGUGCCCUCUCUCUCUAUAAAGAAUGACCAUUAGGAGAGCAGGCAAAGCCCACCGUAUCUUCCUAUUUUUUUCCGAAAGGCUAAGAGCGGACUCUUCCUUCAAAGCGGAAAACACAUUGAAAAGACUAGCCUACGGUAAUACCGACUCUCCGGGUAAAAAACUAGAGCUAUUCAAAGCCGAGACUCUUCCUAGACUAGGGCCAAGGUAAAGGCAAAAAACGGAAGGGAGCGAAGACAAACUGACGACUGACUUGUGGUAUUCUCUCAGGGAGCGAAGCCUCGAUACCUACAGUUUAGAUGAGAUUAGAGUCGGUUCAGGAAAACCCGGAGCUGUUGGUUCGAUAGAAACUGGAGCUGUCAGCUUAUGGCGCUUCAAAAGUGGAAUCCGCGUCUUUUUCUCUUUGUUUACGGAGGGAUUAGUGGAGUGUGCUUAGGUCUUGGUCUAGAGUGCUUCCUUUCGCGCCUUGGUUAGCCGGAAGUAGAAAUGCCGGGAGUGUAGGGAAGGGUCCCUCGGGUGAGAUGGCUAACCGUGUCCUUACCUGAUAUGGUUGACUACCCAGGGCGUUGGUUGGCGCACUUGGCUGCUUCUCCCUUUGCCUGCCUUUCUUUCGGCGGAUGAAACAACGGCUUCAGAUUCGGCUUGAGAAUCGGUAUCGUUCCCUGCCUCUGCUUCCCUUGCUUGCUUGUCGGGCAUAUAGAGGUAGAGGAAGAAAAAUUUCCUUUUUCAAUCUCAAGCAUUUUUUGACGGAAUCUUACUUUUUUGAAGAAAUCGAUGAAAAAUUAGCUCAAAAGGCGGACAUAAAGGUGAAUAAAAAGGUAUUCGAUUAGUCUGCUAGCGGUAAGGCGAAAAAAGAAGGGAAGGUGCUUCUUUAACAACAAUUAUCCGAUCAAUAGCCACACCCACGCCACGCACAGAGAAGGAAGAAGGAGUUGUGCCAUCUCUAUCAGCUAGUGUUUUUGCCUUUUUUCCUGUUAUCGGGCUUACCGCUGUUAGAAAUCGAUCUAGACUAGAUGCCAAUAAGAGAACAGGACAAAGAACUGAACUUCGACGCUGGGUAAGGCAAGUGCCAUGAGAAUGAAAUAAGUGCCACGAACAACUGGGGCAUAAAAGGAGCAGCUGCUAGCCAUAAGACUUGAAUCCCAACUGUGAGGGAGGUUUGGAUAGAUAUUAAACUAGGGCUUGCACAGAAUCGGACAAGGGACUGACAUUUCUUAUCUAGAUGCCUAAAACAGAAGCAGAUAAGAUAGCGGAUUAGGCCGAAAAGGAGGAAGCGGGGAUGGCACUGGCUCUUUCUAUCUUAAGGCGGUAAGGCGCAGUCGAAACUUGAAGCGUGUGUAACCCGUUCUAAUUCUAAGAGUCAGGGGCUUAGCGCUUUGAUGGUUGACUGCCUCCGCUCGGGGCACCUAUCUUUCUUUAUAUGCCCAUUUUGCAAGAAGAAGGGCUUUCCUUAUUGAAAAGAUUCAAAAUUCUAUUCCAGAUAGGGGCAACCCUUCAAGCCUUCGCUCUUAAACAUUCUUCCAUAACACUUAUUCGCGCCUAUUCUAUCUCGAACAGAGAACGAGGAAGGCCCUUAGGGGAAUGAAAUUCCUCCUCUUAUAGCGGCUUCCUAUUAGUCUAAGUAUGACUCUUUGAGAUCUAGACCAGGCAAAGCCCUUUCCAUUCUUGUAGCAGGGCGCAGUCCUAAUUGAUUGUUUCAUCGUGUUUGAUGGAAAAACUUUAUUGAUUGCUAACCCCAAGCGAAGAGCUUAUUGUCUUCCUCGGCUGCCGAAGCCUCCUAUAAUGUCAAAUGAAAGAAAUGCUUUCCCCACUACUCCUAUUGAUAGGACGACUGCGACUUUCAAAUACAAUAAAGAUAGCUAUUUCUUUCUCCUAGUGACUACUCCGAGUAAAGACUACGGACCUUAACCCGUUAACGGGAUUUUUUACAUUACUAAAUAAAUAAAAUAUAUUCUGAAGAAAGGCUUCCUCUUCCCCUUAUUCUUUAAACCAGUCUGACUCUUCCAAUUUGUAGAGUUGGGCAGGCGAAUCAAGAUAAAUGACUAGGGGAUUUCCUGCCAGAGUUCCCUCCCUUGGGGUGUCAUCAAUGUUGGCAGAUCCGUUAAUGCUGAAGCAGAACCAUCUGCUGCCGCUGGAGUGCCUUUACCGCAAUAUAUGUUGUCAGGUAAGUGUCCUUAGUGUUAGUGGAAAGCUAGGGAUCGAAUUGAAGCGGAGAAAAAAAAAGAGAAGAGAUAGCCGGUCAGGAAAGGUAGGCUCUGCUCUCUGUUCUUCUUGAAAAUGAAAAAAGCCAAGGUCAGCUAAGAUAAAAGAGAACAGAAGGCCUAGUGAGUCUUCACCUCUCCUCUCUAUUAAUACGAAUACGUUUCUAAUAUGAUUUUAGUCGGUUGCCAUGUAUCAUGGUUUGUUUGAAGAUAGGAGAGUAGAUAAAAGCUUCUGGUUCCAUGCCAUGCAAGUCCAUAGCGUUCAAUUCUCCAUCAAUCUUCCUAUCGGGCGGCAAUAGACAAUAAAAGAAUGAAGCCUCGAUGACUUAAGCCUCUUUAAGGGCUUUUCAAGAGUCUCUUUGAAGAAGGAAAAACUCUUUUUUCAACUUCAGUCUAGUUUGCCACAAGGCAUGCAAGCGAGGCCUAUGUGGAAGAAAGCUCGACAACAACAAGCGAAUGAUCUGAUCGGGGGGGCGUACUCUACGAACUUAGUUGCUUCACAACCUGGGGGUUGGGUUCUUUCACUCAAUAGAAAGAAAAAAAAAGUGUCACACACUAUAAGGCAAUAAGAAGAUAACUUUUCAAUACAAAAAUAUAUCUCAAUACGGGUGGGAUUAUAGAAAGACUUUUGAAAUGACUUCUCUGUCGGUUACGACUAAAAGGCCUUGCAUACUCGAGAAGCUGAUUCAAUAGCAACCACUCUUACUAAUGAUAUUCUGGACUUUCCUUGUUAAGGUCCCGAGGUAAAGUAACGGCUAGGCUAUAAGUAGGCCGGUUGCUAUCCCUAUAAGGGAUGCUCGCCUAGGAAUCAGGUUCGGACCUUGCUUAGAUUCAAGAUCCAGGGAACCGAAGGGGCGUAGCGAUGCCAAAAAGCGAACUAAAACCAAAGGGGGGUACAAUCACACGUCAGGGUCCAAAAGAAUGCUAUUUUAGGACCAAGUUGAAAGAUCUAGAAGCAGGAUCAGGAUGGGACCAAUGAGUUCUCCAAUCGUUCCGUGUGAGGCCCCUCUGCUAGACUGGAGGAGCAGUUAACGAGAAGCUUAACUUACACAGAAUUGUUGAAGAGCGAGGGGAGGUGCUUUGACACCAUUUUCCACGAUUCCCACAUUGAGCUCUCUUUGCCUUACUUAUUAUGAAUCGAUAUAAAAGAGAAUCCGCCAGCUGGAAGAGGAAUAGGAUAUAGGUGAGCCCGGGGAAUAUUGUUGAAUAAAGACCCCUUCUAAAAAGCUCUUGGCCCACCCUUCACUCUGUUCACGGUUAGCCGGGAAUGAGACUGGGAGUUCGAUUUCCUUUAUGACUUUCGCCUUGCACCUUACACUAAACUGAAUCUCUUGCACGCGCGUAUAAUAAGGAAGAAUACCUUGCUGGCUAUUCCUUAUGCUUGAUAGCACAGGAAAGAGAGAUUCCGGAAUCUCUUGACUUCACAGCUACGCACCUUUCAAACAUACUUUUCUUACUCCAAGAGCGAAAAGAACAUCAUAUCAUAGGUUAUACUAUCCGGGAGUAGUAGUACUUGCUAAAGCUAAAGGUUUUCUCCCGCUAAAAACAGUCUACUAGAUAAGCCAAGUAAAGAAGUGCCAGAUACAGAUGAAAUGGUUUUCUCUCCUUUUUAGAGAAGUCAAUUCCUCCUCCCCCGAGGGGUACUUCUAUUUAAGCUUUAGAGAAUCCAGGUCCAGCGGAAGACUAAGUAAGGUACGGUAUAAAGUCCAAUCAAUCUCCUCCAACAGACAACAGAGGGCUCUGACCUGACCACAGUCAAUCAGUCUAUUGUUCUGGUUCUAUAGAGUCUAACCCUUAUAUGAGGCUACAAGGGAAGACUCCUCGUUUUUAGCCUGGUCCAGGUGUGGCAUAUCUUUCCCAUCUAGUAGCCCCGACAAGAGCAGUUACGUCUUUUCCUAAAGCCCUUACUAAACCACCAGGAACUAGUCUGGUUUGAUAUAAGCCUAGCUACCACGGAAAGCAUAGUCAGAAGAGCUGAAAAAAUAGCCAUCUUACUCUCGGACCUUACCUUAAUAAAGGAAGAACUUAAGCCUUUCUUAAAAAGAAAAAAAACCUAAGAUGAGCUAACUUGGCUUGGUGCAGGAAAUGGAAUCACAGCAAGAAAGAAGGCUAGGAGAGAUAGCAUACUUUCCUUUUUUAGGAUUUCUACCCGCAAAUGCCUUAGUCAGUAGCCUGCCUUUCGACUCGGGGUGUUCUAAGGUGCUAAAUGCAUUGUUGCAGUCGAUGCUAUUUCGUUCAAAGAUCCUAUCUUCUCUUCUUACUAGGUGAUACCUGGUUGUUCGAGGAAAUCCUUGUCGCUACUCUAAGUAGUUUCCCGAGUGUUUUGAUUUCCUAACCAAGGAUAGGCGACUCCGGAUCUGAGAUUGUACUAGACUGAGCUGCCAGAGUUGUUGCACUGGGGUAUCUAUUGGUUUAUUGUUAAAGGAUCCGCUUCCUUGUGCUCUUAUUGCAUUCUCCCAGAGAACUAGGGGGGAUUCGAUUUUAAGGUUGGUUAGAACAAGAAAAAUACCAACCAACACUAAUGGGGGUGAACCCAACAGGAGCUCGAAACCGCCGAUAAGGGCUUCACAACGAGUCCAUCGAAACGAAGCUAAUUAGAUUCUAGUAGUAGCACUGAUAGCCACUUAUGCCUUCUUAGCCGUGUCGUGAAAGUCCUUUGCUCAAGUGCUCAAGGAAAAAGGUAUCUUUUACCCCGAGGGUGUAGAGUUCUUCUCACUCGUAUUUGCUAGUGGUGAAUCAUAUCUAUAUUUAUUGAAGUUAGCCCCUAUAUUUUCAUCGUUAGCUAUAGCCCUCUCUAUCUUUGUUGGCGUAACCGCCCCUUGAUUGGGCGUAUGUAAAUGCCCGGUAGUAUGAGCUACUUCCUCUUAGAAUGAUCACUAGCAUUACCUAUUGAAGACUUUCUUUUCCCCUCUUUUAACUCGGCAGUCUGUCAGAGUUAGCGCUUCGGCUCUGAUUUCUUUCUCUUUUCUUUCUAUAUGAUAUUACUCCCCCGGGGGAUUGAGAGCCUUUAUUUCUAAAUGACUUAUCGCUCUUUUACUAGGAUAAUCCAAAAGCCUUUGUAAAGUCUGUUGGAUGUGCAAAUUACGCCUUUACUCUAGCUGCUCUUGGUGGUUGAGUAAGGGCAUUGAGCUUAGGCCUACCCCUACUCUCAAGGUAGGGUAGUUCAGUCACCCGAGGAUCACUCUCUCCAGAGCCGGGAGUGCAGCCAAUUAACAAAACCGAUUAAACAAGUCUGGAGCAGCUCAGUCCAGCUAGCUUCUUUGCCAAUUAGCUACGUUCGUUCCCCUCCCCCUUAAGUCAAAUAGGCUGGUCACGAAAUGUCUUUGUCUUAUGCCAAUGCGGCGAGUCCUGUGCCUUCGACCUUCGUGGUCGUGGUUCGUGUUGUGGUACCGGCUUAAAGAAAAGAUUAACGCUGCUCCAGCUUAAGGAAAGCAUCUCUUGGAGUUUCUCCUUUCGUGGUUGUGUGUCCUUCCAGCCUUAAAGCAAUCGGCGGUACUUCGGGUGAAGAGGUCAAAUUAAUUACUAAAGGAAUCAGGCGCUAGGGCCAGUGCGAUGCCUUCUAUAUAUAAUGAAUAUCCCUGUCCAAGUGGAAGCAUGAGGG
rnacentral:lncRNA from 1 species